rnacentral:rRNA from 1 species
AUGAAAGGAAUCUUUUGGAAUAGCAGAGGUCUCAAGGACUUGGCUAAAAGAAGGUUUCUUGCUGAGGCAUCUUUGGAGCACAGAUUAGAUUUCAUUGCUCUCUCUGAAAUUGGAAGAGACAAUUUUUCUCCGCAGUUUCUUUCCUCUCUUGCGGGUGGUGUUGAUUUCGACUGGCAUUGCCUACCGCCACGUGGACGAUCGGGAGGCAUCUUGUUGGGAGUGAGAUGCGAUUCCCUUGAGGUCAGGAGUGUGGUAAUGGGAGACUUUGCGGUUAAGUUUCGGGUUAGGUCAAAAGUUGAUGGGUUCGACUGGGCUUUGGUGGCGGUGUAUGGAGCUGCACAGCCCGAAUUUAAACCGGAGUUUCUGGCGGAUCUUGUCCGAAUUUGUGGG